GACGAACGCUGGCGGCGUGCUUAACACAUGCAAGUCGAACGAGUGGCGGACGGGUGAGUAAUGCUUGGGAAUCUAGCUUAUGGAGGGGGAUAACUACGGGAAACUGUAGCUAAUACCGCGUACCAUAGGAUGAGCCCAAGGGGGAUUAGGUAGUUGGUGAGGUAAAGGCUCACCAAGCCGACGAUCUCUAGCUGGUCUGAGAGGAUGACCAGCCACACUGUGACGGUGACACGGCCCAGACUCCUACGUGAGGCAGCAGUGGGGAAUAGUGCGCAAUGGGGGCAACCUGACGCAGCCAGGCCGCGUGAAUGAAGAGGGCCUUCGGGUUGUAAAGUUCUUUCGGUAGCGAGGCGUUGACUACAGAAGAAGCACCGGCUAAGUCCGUGCCAGCAGCCGCGGUAAUAC
rnacentral:rRNA from 1 species